UAGGUACUCUCUCCGUCUAAAAAUAUUUGUCGAAGAAAAAGACAUAUUUUAGUUCUAUAUACAUCUGUUUUUAUUCAUUUUUUCGACAAGUAUUUCCGGACGGAGAGAGUAUUUU
rnacentral:pre_miRNA from 1 species